UGGCGGCGUGCUUAACACAUGCAAGUCGAACGAUGAACCGGUUUCGGCCGGGGAUUAGUGGCGAACGGGUGAGUAACACGUGGGCAAUCUGCCCUGCACUCUGGGACAAGCCCUGGAAACGGGGUCUAAUACCGGAUAUGACCACCGGCCGCAUGGUCUGGUGGUGGAAAGCUCCGGCGGUGCAGGAUGAGCCCGCGGCCUAUCAGCUUGUUGGUGGGGUGAUGGCCUACCAAGGCGACGACGGGUAGCCGGCCUGAGAGGGCGACCGGCCACACUGGGACUGAGACACGGCCCAGACUCCUACGGGAGGCAGCAGUGGGGAAUAUUGCACAAUGGGCGCAAGCCUGAUGCAGCGACGCCGCGUGAGGGAUGACGGCCUUCGGGUUGUAAACCUCUUUCAGCAGGGAAGAAGCGCAAGUGACGGUACCUGCAGAAGAAGCACCGGCUAACUACGUGCCAGCAGCCGCGGUAAUACGUAGGGUGCGAGCGUUGUCCGGAAUUAUUGGGCGUAAAGAGCUCGUAGGCGGCCUGUCGCGUCGGAUGUGAAAGCCCGGGGCUUAACCCCGGGUCUGCAUUCGAUACGGGCAGGCUAGAGUUCGGCAGGGGAGAUUGGAAUUCCUGGUGUAGCGGUGAAAU
rnacentral:rRNA from 1 species